rnacentral:rRNA from 1 species
UACGUAGGGUGCAAGCGUUGUCCGGAAUUAUUGGGCGUAAAGAGCGUGUAGGCGGCCCGAUUAGUCCGCUGUGAAAGUCCAGGGCUCAACCCUGGAAAGCCGGUGGAUACUGUCGGGCUCGAGUCCGGAAGAGGCGAGUGGAAUUCCUGGUGUAGCGGUGGAAUGCGCAGAUAUCAGGGGGAACACCAAUGGCGAAGGCAGCUCGCUGGGACGGUACUGACGCUAAGGCGCGAAAGCGUGGGGGAGCAAACAGGG